CGGAAUGUGCAAACGUUAUUCGGAAUCACUGGGCUUAAAGAGUCCGUAGGCGGCAUGUUAGGUGAGGUGUGAAAUCCCCCGGCUCAACCGAGGAAUUGCGCUUCAAACCGGCGUGCUCGAGGAAGAUAGAGGUAGGCGGAACUGAUGGUGGAGCGGUGAAAUGCGUUGAUAUCAACAGGAACACCGGAGGCGAAAGCGGCCCACUGGGUCUUUUCUGACGCUGAGGGACGAAAGCUAGGGGAGCGAACGGGAUUAGAUACCCCGGUAGUCCUAGCCUUAAACGAUGAGCACUAGACCGAAGGAUCUCCACGAUUUUUUGGUCGUAGCGAAAGUGUUAAGUGCUCCGCCUGGGGAGUAUGGUCGCAAGGCUG
rnacentral:rRNA from 1 species